GAGUUUGAUCCUGGCUCAGGAUGAACGCUGGCGGCGUGCUUAACACAUGCAAGUCGAACGAACCUUCGGGUUAGUGGCGGACGGGUGAGUAACGCGUGAGAAUCUGCCCUCAGGAGGGGGACAACAGCUGGAAACGGCUGCUAAUACCCCAUAUGCCGCGAGGUGAAAUGAAUUUCGCCUGAGGAUGAGCUCGCGUCUGAUUAGCUAGUUGGUGUAGGUAAUGGCUCACCAAGGCAUCGAUCAGUAGCUGGUCUGAGAGGAUGAUCAGCCACACUGGGACUGAGACACGGCCCAGACUCCUACGGGAGGCAGCAGUGGGGAAUUUUCCGCAAUGGGCGAAAGCCUGACGGAGCAACGCCGCGUGAGGGAUGAAGGCC
rnacentral:rRNA from 1 species